CCUCCUCUGCACCCUAACUAGCCCUGUCUGUGCUUAAACAGAUGUCCAUCUCGAAUGAGAAAAUGGAAGUUCUAGCGGGGGCCUCGUUGCUCCGAGGUCCCAACAAAUAUCUGGACUUUCGUCUCAGUGUCAGACUAAGCGGCUCCCAUCAUCUGCCGCGUCCCAGAGGGUGCAGGGAAACCGUCUAUCCAGCUCAACGAAACCGGUCUCAGCAAGCACGACGCCAUCUGGCCUACCGCCUCCGAGAACUUGGGCUCACCCAGGAGGGGCCCGCGCCUGCGCGGACCGCGGAGGGGCGUGGCGAGGAGAGAGGGGGCGAGGCCUCCGCGGAAGGCGAGAGGAGGCGCGGGGCAGUGACGCAAAUGCGCCCCCAGUGGUGGGUGUGUUCGCGCCUCUGGUCUGUAGCUUCUGGACUCCGUUUCCACGGUUACGGCGGCGCGAGGCUGUGUCCCAGACACUGACAUCCAGCGAUUUGUGCGUGCGCGGGAGCUGCACACUCUUGGAGGCAGUUGCUCGGAUCAAGGUAAAGGUCAUAGUGUAUCCCUGAGCUUCCGCAACCCAUGUGCCCUUUGCCUGGCUUCCCGUGACUUCCUCAGAGAACGUUCUUGACUCUUCCCUUCUUCCGUAAGCCCAUGUCGCCUCCCUGGAGGGCCACACCACCAAAGAUAAAGUCGUGCUUCUGGCAGGUUCACCCCCGCAGGAUGAAGCCACUCUGGGUCCGUGUGGGGUAGAAGCCCUGGCGACCCUGGAAGUGGUUGGCCGCGGGCUAGGAGUGGAUGAGAGCACAGAUGUAAAUAAUACAAGUCAGUUAAUUAUUUAUCCGGGGCGUUGAUGAGAAUUUUGACAUCACUGAAGUACUUUUGGACAUGGUGCCCAUGACAGACGCAACAUCUGAAAAUGACUUAUUUGGGUAUGUUGAGAGAAGUCAUGAAAAGUUUAAUGUUGACUGGUCCAAACCGGUAAGUGUGACCACACAGAUGGUGGU